UACGAAGGGGGCUAGCGUUGUUCGGAAUCACUGGGCGUAAAGCGCGCGUAGGCGGAUUGUUAAGUCGGGGGUGAAAUCCCGAGGCUCAACCUCGGAACUGCCUUCGAUACUGGCUAUCUUGAGUCCGGGAGAGGUGAGUGGAACUCCUAGUGUAGAGGUGAAAUUCGUAGAUAUUAGGAAGAACACCAGUGGCGAAGGCGGCUCACUGGCCCGGUACUGACGCUGAUGUGCGAAAGCGUGGGGAGCAAACAGG
rnacentral:rRNA from 1 species